rnacentral:rRNA from 1 species
CAACGAGUUACGUUAAGUAGCAAAGUUAAGAAUGUAAGGUGUGGAGCCGUAGCGAAAGCGAGUUUUACCUGAGCGUUCAGUUACUUGACGGAGACCCGAAACCGGGCGACCUACCCAGGAGCAGGAUGAAGCGAAAGUAAAAUUGCGUGGAGGUCCGAACCCACGAGCGUUGAAAAGCUCGGGGAUGACUUGUGGGUAGCGGUGAAAUUCCAAUCGAGCCCGGAGAUAGCUGGUUC